UACGUAGGGGGCAAGCGUUGUCCGGAAUCAUUGGGCGUAAAGAGCGUGUAGGCGGUUCGGUAAGUCGGCUGUGAAAGUCCAGGGCUCAACCCUGGGAUGCCGGUCGAUACUGCCGGACUAGAGUUCGGAAGAGGCGAGUGGAAUUCCUGGUGUAGCGGUGAAAUGCGCAGAUAUCAGGAGGAACACCGAUGGCGAAGGCAGCUCGCUGGGACGGUACUGACGCUGAGACGCGAAAGCGUGGGGAGCGAACAGG
rnacentral:rRNA from 1 species